AUGAGAGAGCCCAGCUUCAGAGAUCUUCUGGAAAAUAUGGACAUGGUCAUACAGGUCCAGAGGACAUUAGAACAGCAGCAACAUCUGAACACAGAACAGCAGGCUGAGAGAGAACAACAAGAGGCCCUACUUAAACAACAAGUCCAGCUUCUUGAAGAGCAGUUGAAGACGGUGAAAGAUGAUAGGAGCCAGGUGAAUAGCAACAUUCAGGACAGUAUGGACAUGGUGAGAGUCUGUGACUGUUCUGAACUUAGAGAAGCAGUCAUAAUGUGA
rnacentral:lncRNA from 13 species